UCUAUCAUGAACUAAAACAUCUAAUCUAGAGUUUGAUUAGCCAAAACUUUAGCGGCUGUUUGUUUCCCAUUAAUUUUGCACAAUAAAGCAUUUUUGGACCAUUGCCAUUAAUUUCCGUGACAAUCCAUGUGCCUUUACUUAGAGAAGAAGACUUACCUCUUUCCAAAUCUUGCUCUUUCCCACCGAUAGUUCACCCCAAAAGCAUUCAACCUACAGACGAAAAUCACUAAAACCCACACUGAAGCAAACGCAGAUUCAAUAUUUCGAUGGAAACCCUUAACCCGCACAACUAGCAAAUGAUACUUCAGUUCCAUAAAGGUCUACACAACACGUUUCCAUGGAAGAGUCGUCAACAACUCCGCCCCCAUAUUGCGUCCACAACCCCGCAUCCAAGCCCACAUCUUCGCCGACCAAAUGGAUCCCGCUGACACACAGGUACUUCAUAUGCCUCCAACAUUUGUCCUACAUUUGCCGACGACGAGGACGUUAUUCCGGUUACACUACCGUGUUAUUUGUUCACUGAAACUGGGAAGUUAAGGGAGGAAAAAAGUUCAGCAGGAUGACGACUUUAAGGAAAAGGAUUCUUUUUUAUAUAAAUGUCCAACCAACCACCAUAAUCGAAGGUGAAGUCCUUUCAAGGGAAGCACUUCGAGAAAAUUCAAUCCUUUCCAUAAUCGAAAAUAUCACGAUUUGAUUAUUGAUUCAAACCAUGACUGAAAGAAGCCCACUAAGAAUUCCAUAUACCCACAUCAAAAACUACUUGUAAUGUAUAGUAGUUGAUCUACAAAUUUGCUAAAGAAAAUAGAAACGGUUCUGCAAGAAUGGGCUUCCGAAUUGAAUGCAUAUCAUUAACCUCUUGGGAUUAAUACCAAUCAGGUUUCCCAACCCCAUACUUAUUCGCUUUCUAUGUAUUACCAUUCUGUUCAAAACAAUAUUUCGAUGUUUUCUCACUUUUAAUGCCCAACUUCACUCUUGGGAUCGAAAUCUUAUGCGCGAUGGAAUGCGUCGGAGACCCAAACAUUUAUUGCAGCGUGUGAAACCGCCAUUGUCGAGGGUCAUCGUAAUGUUCGGUGUUUUACAAAACACAGCUGGGAACGAGUCUCCGCUCUAUUCAACUCAAUCAGUGGGCACAAUUGGAGCAAGCAACAACUGUGCAAUCACUGGAACGCCAUAUGUCAAACCCACAUACAUCUCUCUGAGCUGUUAAAUUGUAGCGGGGUCGAGUACAACCCAUCCACCAAUCAAAUCGUCACAUUGGAGGAAUGGUGGAACCGGAAGAUUAAGGUAUCCCAGCUUCGCCAGACUAAAUCCUGAACCUCUAGCCACCGGCCCCUCGGUGACUCGAGGAAGUAAAUCGCAGGUUAUGCUCUUAUUGGCCCCUAGGUUCCCACUUGGUUUAUACUCCUGGCCCCAAGAGAAUCCUCCUCGCUGCGUUGAUCAGGAAUCGAACUCUCCACGUUGAGAUUGCAAGCCCACCAUAGUGAUUGUUCCACCAACUCGGAUGUGCCCUGGGGGGCUAGUGGCCUCAUUUUCUAUUUCCAUUUUCUGUUGCUUCCUUUACCAUGGAAACGGGGCAUAUAUACAUUCUGGGUUAGGUAUCGUUGUUGUAAGUGCCAUUAAUUUUUGAUUUUUUCUUUAAGGCUGUCAAGUUGAA